rnacentral:rRNA from 1 species
CAUGUAGGAAUUUAAAAGUUGAACAAACUUUUUUUUUAACUUCUUCAUUAAAAAAGAAUCCUAAUCCAACAUCGAGGUCGCAAACUAUUUUAUCUAUAAGAACUAUCCAAAAUUAUUACGCUGUUAUCCCUAGAGUAUUUUUUUCAUUAAAUCAUUAAAUAAUGGAUCAAAAUUAAUUUAUUAUUAAAAGAUAAUUAUUCUUUUCCUGUCGCCCCAACAAAAUUAAUAUAAAUACUAAUUAUUAAUUUCAUAUUAAUUUAAAAUUCAUAGGGUCUUCUUGUCCCUAAUUUUUAUUUUUGUUUCCUCACAAAAAAAUUAAAUUUAAUUUUUAAAAUAAAGAAAGUUAUUAAUUGUUAUACCAUUCUCUUAGCACUCAUUUAAAAUCUUAUUUCAAUACCUUCGUAUAGUCAAAAUACCACAGCAAUUUAAAAAUUUCAUUGAGCAGAUUUUACAUUUUAUUAAUUUCAAAAUGAAAUGUUUUUGU